UCUCGCACGUGUCCACAUGACACAACCUUUAUUUACAAGCCUAAAGAGGCCACCAACCCAACUAAAAUGGGACUAUUAAACCUUCGGCCGCCCCUUUACAUGCUGUACAAGGCAUGAAUAUGUCAAAAGACACGGACAUACAUAAGCAUUACAUCAAACACCUUGUUUAGAAGUUUGUCCGUGACAUUCUCCCCCACUUAUUCCUUCGACGUCCUCGUUGAAGCCUUUGUUGACACUGCAACUCCUCGCCUUUGCUGAGUCUUCAAUCUUC
rnacentral:lncRNA from 1 species